GGGAGCUUGCUCCCGGAAGUCAGCGGCGGACGGGUGAGUAACACGUGGGCAACCUGCCUGUAAGACUGGGAUAACUUCGGGAAACCGGAGCUAAUACCGGAUAAUUCUUUCCCUCACAUGAGGGAAAGCUGAAAGAUGGUUUCGGCUAUCACUUACAGAUGGGCCCGCGGCGCAUUAGCUAGUUGGUGAGGUAACGGCUCACCAAGGCAACGAUGCGUAGCCGACCUGAGAGGGUGAUCGGCCACACUGGGACUGAGACACGGCCCAGACUCCUACGGGAGGCAGCAGUAGGGAAUCUUCCGCAAUGGACGAAAGUCUGACGGAGCAACGCCGCGUGAGUGAUGAAGGUUUUCGGAUCGUAAAACUCUGUUGUUAGGGAAGAACAAGUACCGGAGUAACUGCCGGUACCUUGACGGUACCUAACCAGAAAGCCACGGCUAACUA
rnacentral:rRNA from 1 species